rnacentral:rRNA from 1 species
AUGGAGGUGCAGGCCCAAGUACUUCGAAUCAUCAACAAGAAAUCCAAGAAAGAACAGCGAAGGAAAAACGUGACAAGAAAAGUGUUUUCUCGACUCGAGAUGUUAGAAGGUGCUAAAUCAAUAGGUGCCGGAGCUGCUACAAUUGCUUUAGCCGGAGCUGCUGUCGGUAUUGGAAACGUCCUCAGUUCUUUGAUUCAUUCCGUGGCGCGAAAUCCAUCAUUGGCUAAACAAUCAUUUGGUUAUGCCAUUUUGGGCUUUGCUCUCACCGAAGCUAUUGCAUUGUUUGCCCCAAUGAUGGCCUUUCUGAUCUCAUUCGUUUUCCGAUCGCAUAAAAAGUCAUGA